UUCUGGAGAACGACAGACGAAUAUAUGCGUUUCUACAUUUGCCGGAUUUAUAAAGAAUUGUAUUGUUCAUGGAAUCCGCCUCCGCAGGGUUGCAUUCCAUUUAACACGGAGACAGAUAUGAUCUUUGGGAAAUAUGCAAUUCCCAUUUUCCACAUGGACACAUUUCCAAGAUUUCAUAAUUAAAUGCACCCACCACAAUUUUCAGUUAAUAAACAUUUACAGCACCAAAACGGGGUCUUUAUCUUUCCGUCGUCGGUGCAUAAGUAAUAUGUACACUGUGAUAGCAAUUGAUUGUGUGGGAAAUGUGUCGUUAGAAAAGAGAUGCAUCCAGUUACAAAGGCAAUCUAGUUCAACGCAAUUGCGUCACGAAAUAAAAACCUGCUACAGACCUAGUCGUCACGUGCUUUCGACUGGUUAAAUAUCAACAGAUAGGCAAGCCUCGUGUCCAGCAUUAAUUCAUCGUUGAUUUACUGAAGCUCGACUUUUGUCAGAUUUUGAACUUCCCACUAAAGCCUAUGCAUUGGCAGAGCAUUUCCACAGUAUUGUCAAACUCGUAACCUACGUCAAAGGAGUCUAAGGGCAUACACCCCAGAGAGCAGAAGACUUAAACGCACCCAACGGCGCGCGGCAGUCGGCGGUGGUGAAACGCUCUGACUCUGCCCGUUCGUUCCGAUCGCCUGUACCGAUGAGGUCACAGCCGUGACGACUCCCCUCUGUGAUCGCUAACGGAAGGGCUGGGUCAGGCGCCGGCCAAUAAACGGUGUGGUAGAAAAGCAGGCGGGGAGGGCGGGUUUUUUUUUUUUUGUUCUCAGACACAACAGGGUGUCGUUUAAAAAAAAAAAAAAAAAAAAAAAAGAAGAAGAAGAAGAAAUGAGUGGCGCUGUGCCACCGCAGCCCGUGGAAUGCCAGACACGGAGGGGCGUGGCCCGGGGAUCAUGCCAUGGCCGCGUGCGAGGGCCGUGUAACUUGAGCCGGAAGCUGCAGAAGAGAGCAGCGAUCCCGGCGGCGGUGCGAGGAGGAGAGGCUGUUCAUCCCGCGGGAACGCCGCCAGACGCCGACGCCGGCCUUCUUCCGCCGCCGUCCCUUUACAGACCGCCACUACGCAACCCCGAAAUCUUAACGCUAGAGCACGCCCUAAGAGGUUCACAGAGGUCAACCGCGAUGUUCAACAGCGCCGGCUCCCACCAAUCAGCACGAGGCUCCCCUGUGGCGCAUGACUUGUCAUUUUUCCGGUGAAUAAAUCACAUCAUAAACACACACACACACACACACACACACACGCAAAAAUGGACGAGCAGCGUUAGUGCCUUGCUUUUUUUCUUCUUUUUUCUUUUCUUGCAAACCCACAAUCAAACGAUGUGCCGUGCCGUUCUCCAGAAAGUUAUGCUCCUGCGCGAAGGUGCGCAGUUUCAGGUUUGCGAUUCGAGUCUCGUCUUACAGGUCUGACUCUUUUUUUGGCAGCUGUUAGGGCGGGGGGGGGUGCGCUGGGGGUAAUUGCAUUGGCGUAUGCAGAUCUCAGCAUUGUUCGGAAACACAGGCGGAAUAAUUCAUGCCCCCCCCCCCCGCGCCGUCUCCGCUGAUUGCUUGGGCUACCUGUUUAAUAUGAAAGCUCGCUUUCUGCUUGCGAGGUGCCCGUUCGCAUCGCAUGCAAAGGAGUCGUUUCCUUUGACAAGACGAAACAGCUGCCAGGAGAGGGGCAGAUGGCUUCAUUAUUGUCUUCGUGUUACAGAUGGAUGGCACUGCUGACAGAUAGGAAGAAUAAAUUGCUGGUGAUAUUAAAAAGAAACCAGCUUGCGUUACAGGUUUUUUUUCCCUGGUUUUAAGGUGUAUUUUUAGUGAAAUGUGCAGAGUGGCAUGCAUAGCAAAACCAUGCAUUUUUCUGCGCCCGUGGAAUUCGAUAUGUUAAGCGAAUUCUCUCAGCGCUGCGCUCCUGCACUCUGGAUUUAUAUUAUAAUUGGAAUUCCAUGUGUUGCCCAAAUUGCCGUACACGAAUUGUGUGUGCCGAGUGCGGGAGGCGCUCUCUUCAGCUGAUGGGAUUCGUUUUGACCCAGGUCCAAUCCACCUAAAUCCUGGGGAGAAAAUGGCGUAUGACCUUUUCGUAUUGUUUAGAGUUCUCUUCCCUCCGGAGGGCUCUGCCUUCAGCUUAGCUCCACGCCGAUGACACUGACUUCUGACGGCGUCUGAGAAGUCAGCCAUCGGGCCCCGCUUAGUUCCUCCCACCAUUUACAGUAAAUCUCAUUUUUCCAUUUCAUAUGUUUUCUCGCUUCUGUUUUUUCUCAGAAAUUGAUCUGCAUUUUUUCCCCAUUGUGGACACGGACAAGUAUUAACAUAUUCGUCACCUAUAAAAUAUAUAAACAAUUACAGGCAUUAAGGAAGCAUGAAUCAUAAUAGAAAAUAUUACUACUUACAGUACCACAUAGUUUGUCAGACGUAACAUUGAACUUAUGACACUAGAGAAUGUCGUUGUGGCGUGAAGAAACCAGAAGUCAUAUUUAUGACACAUGUAACCACAAACGCACACAAGCACACACAUGCACACAAACACUCAUGCAAACACACACUCAUACAAGCAUGCACACACAUGCACACAAACACGCAUACAAACACACACUCAUACAAGCAUGCACACACAUGCACGCAAACACGCAUACAAACACACAAUCAUAAAAGGCAUGCACACACAUGCACACAAACACACAUACACACAUGCAACCAAACACUCGUGCAAGCACACACUCAUAAAAGUAUGCACACACAUGCAAACAAACACUCAUGCAAACACACACUCAUACAAGCAUGCACACACACAUAUGCGCGCACGCACACACACACACAGAACCCCACGGAUCUGCAGAAAAUGGCGCAUGAUUAAGUAAUGGAUUUCUUUCAUUCCAUGCUGGGCCAGGCUGUCUCUCUGUUAUUUUACGAGAUCCCAGCUCCCUGGACGGGACGUCAGAGCGGGACACGGGCCCUCACCGCGCACGGCCAAGCGCCUCUUCCCCAGAGUCGGGGUCACCUACGCAAGGGGAAGCUGCUAAAACACUCCCAGCAGGACCCAGAAGUACAUAAAGGCCCCGUUUCCGUAAGCCUGCCCUUAAAUCACACAUCCACUGCUGCAUUAAGCAGAACCCGGGAGUGAAGAGGCUGAGGCCAAGAAGCUCCGGAAGAUAUACUGUGACAUCAAAGAUGUUCUUUACCGCCCCCCCAAAAACUCAAUUCUCAAAACUCACAAUUUAUAAAAUGCAAGGAUCUUGGCAGUAUUGCACGACGCAUAUGAUGUUUCUUUCUUCUCUUUUCCUCCCUCCUCGCCCCCCCUUUUCUUUUUUUAAAAACCUCUGGUUCCAUUAAUAUCUUGGCUCCAGCGUGUACGCAUUAGAAGAAUGGCGCUGAGCGGACUCCGUAGGCUGGAAGAUUAAUGGCGUUUAAGUGUCUCCAACCGGCCCCGGCAUUUAUGAGCGAUGCGUUUAUUCCUGAAAAGAAUCUGAGAGUUAAUUUGUCAUGAAAUCCAAUCGCUGCGCGAUGACGGGCACGCGGGACAGGCGUCCCCCCGAACCAGCGGCACAUUUGCACCCCCGUAUUGGGAUUUGGAAGGAGCUUUGCUAUGUAUUAGAGAAUGUAAUCACGACUGCCCCUACGAGGUGCGAGUAACUUAAGCAAUGUGACGCGUGUCAAACGUUCGCGCCCGCUCGUAGUUUCUGCCCUGAUUAUUUUGGUCAGGGACGGUUACAGAACAGAAAGCCUAAUAUUUGGAAGUCCUCUUAGGGAAAGGCAGCAGUGUCUGUCACACAAAGGGGUUCUGUGUGGAUAUUAGAUCAUUAAAUAUACAGAAUAAAUCUGUCGCAAGGCUCACAUUUUAAAAACAUCCACGGCACUUAGUUUAAACAUAUUAAUAGCGUACCGUGGAUGGUCUUGGGGUUUUUUUGAACCUGAAAGUUUAUAUUUUGCGAAAAGUUUAUCUCAAUGUUAAAGUGAGCGCCGAAAUGGUUUAGAAUAAGUUUUUUUUUUUUAAAGAAGAGUUUGAAGAAAUAUCUCUCUUGACAUAUUUCUCCUACUUGGUUGUGCAAUAUAAUUUAUUAUAAAUCUGUUUUUAUUAAAGUGUUGAAUGUAAUGUUAUGUAAUGUAUUAUAUAAUAUGUAUGCAUAAUGUCAUUCUUUAUUUUUUGUUGAUUGUUUGGCUUAAAAUCCAGGACAGGCCCACAGUAUUCUUUGUGCACUAUAAUGUGGUUUAAUCUUCUUUUAUAUACUUUAUAUAAUCUUUGUAUUUACUUUUCGAACAAUACUUUCUGUUAGAAUAAUACUUUUUGCCAGUGAGAUGAAUUAGCCCACCUGGGAUCAAUAGAUAGGACCAGUAAACCAAAAUAAAAAUCAAUUAUAUUCCUUCCAGUUAGAUUGUAUCAUGAGGUAUUGUGCUUUGUGAAUAGUGCCUGGUAUUUUAAUGUGACACUGCUAAGAAACUUUCCCUGAGAACAGGUAAGUUUAAAGGUAAGUAAACAACAACCCAGUUCAGUAUUACGUAGUAUUAGCUUUCAUCCCAGAUCAACUGGGCCCACAAGUUCCUCACUUAAAUAAUAAUAAUAAUAAUAAUAAUAAUAAUAAUAAUAAUAAUGGUAUUAAAACAGUUAGAAAAGACAAAAACUCUGCACAUAAUAGACAUGGUAUUUUUUUAAAAUAAAAUAAAAUUCGGCUGUGGAGUGACCAGCCAGUUCUCUGUGUUCCACAGAUUGUGGUUCUACAAAUGGGGGGAAAAAAUUUUAAAUAAAAGUUUUAUCUGUGUCAGCCAAAACCAUGAGAGUCUACGUUCUGGACACCUGAUGCCCGGUCGACAUACUGUCAAUUUCUCUUAAUUGACAGCAUCAUUCUGUUGGAACUGAGAAAACUAGUACUGUAAACAUACAAUGCAUUUCAGAGCCUGCAGUUUCAUUUAAAAUAUUUUAAUGCGCAACUGAUAUGACUGCAUGUAAUUAUUAUUUAUUAUUAUUAUUUACAGGUAGUUUGUUUUGCAUAUAGAAACAAUCUUACACCGACACUGUCUCAUUGAUCCUCAGACUGACUCUAUGCCCAUUUGAAUUGGACUAUUAAAUUGGUUUUUAAAAAUUAUGGAAUUUAUUUCAAUUCAAGGUACUAGUGGCAAGUCAGUGAUUCAUGAUUACGAAACAUUCUAAUGGACCUGUACAUUUACUUCCAUUCUUGCUUUGCAGUUGUUCUGUCAUUCCUCUUUAAUUUUUUUAAUUUUUGUUGAAGCUUUCUCAACAUACAUUUGUCAGACAGGAUUUUGAAACAUGAAAUUUAGCAUUAUUAUGAUGUAAUUAAGAUACAAUUAUGUGUUGUUACGGAGAAAGAGCUUUUUGCCAGAACAUUCCUGAAAGUUGUUUCUCAAGAUAUGUGUGAGAAAAUGUUCUGAAAGAAGUACUAUGCAGUUAAUAUUGCAGUUGUAUCAUAUAAUAUUAUACAGUAAAAUACUACUAUUAUGAUAAAUACUUUUAAGUGUGUUUUGGCUAUGCAUAUGGAGUUUUUUUUACUCUAUGUAAUGAUCCUGAAGGAAUUAUAGGACCAUGUGAAGUACUGGUACCAUAGAUACUUGAGAUUUGUACUCAGCAAUAAAAAGAAUAUGCCCCA